rnacentral:rRNA from 1 species
UACGGAGAGUGCAAGCGUUGUUCGGAUUCACUGGGCGGAAAGGGCACGUAGGCGGCUCGGCAAAUCGGUCGUGGAAUCUCGACGCUUACCGUCGAAACGGCGGCCGAAAAUACCGGGCUCGAGGGCGUGAGGGGUCACUGGAACUCCUGGUGAAGCGGUGAAAUGCGUAGAUAUCAGGAGGAACGCCGGAGGCGAAAGCGAGUGACUGGCGCGUUCCUGACGCUGAGGUGCGAAAGCGUGGGGAGCGAACAGG